ACAAGAGACGCGAAGCCGGCGCACACGGAGGAAGGACCGGCGCACGUGUUUGAUUGCAGGCUUCUUGGAGCGCAUCCGGGUGAAACCUGUCAAAACGGCUACAGCAUGACAGACGCUGACCUCUCUGCUAAGAGAUAACCUACGUGGAAUAAUGCAGACUGACGUCCAGAGUCAAGUGAAAGCUUGACUUUAGCUAUGACAUGGCUAUGACACUUCAUUGGAUGGGACCUAAUUACUCUGGCUGUGAAUAAUGGUGAGUCUUUGGCAAUUCAACAGUCCCAUAACCUAAAUGAGUCCUUCGAAUAGAUUUAUUUGGUGCAGGUGCACGACAACUACUUUUUUCCAGCUCAAUGGAAACUGCUAUGCGUGAUGUCUUUUUAGGCGACAGCAAGAACAAUAUUACAAAUUAUGUGAAGGCCUUGGUGUCACAUGUAUUUUUUGCAAUGCAGUGUUAAAUGGACUUUCUAGUUAAGUCUUCUAGUUCUCUGAUCAAAGUAAAAAUAGGAGCAAGACAAAAGCAGUGAGGAAGAAAACAGAAAUAAGCAUGAGUAAGAAAAAUAGAAAGUAAACGGAGUAUAAAACUGUAAAAAUGAAGAGCAGUUGCAUGCACGUUGCAGGCGUUCUAUUUCCCAUGGAGGAAAAGAUACUCCUUUGUUUUAAGCUAACUGCAUUGCAGCUUGGGCUGUAGCAAGCUAUUCACUCAUGGGUGUCAUUUUGGUGUCAAUCGGAGCGUACUCUUUGACAUACGCCUUGAUUUUUUUUUUUUUUUUUGAGUCAAGCAAAUCUGUGAGGAAUGGUGGCCGACAGCUUCACUAAUUAUGGCUUGGUUCUAAGUUGUGCUUGCUCAUCAAUGUGAUGCAAGCAAAGAUG